rnacentral:misc_RNA from 1 species
AAAGUCGUAACAAGGUAACCGUAGGUGAACCUGCGGUUGGAUCAUUAGAAAGGAACAGUUGGCACCUCUGUAUAAGGUGCGGGAGGAUGGAUCGUUGGGGGUUUAACUCCGGCCGGUUGCCGUGGCCAACCGGCCACGGCAACCGGCCAGGGGCCUGCCUGCGAUGGAUGCUCUCACCUCCGUCGUCGUUUUGUUUUAUUUUGUUUUUGUUUUUCUCCUGUCUUUGCUUUUGCAAAGAACUGCAAAGAGAACAACUUUUGGCAACGGAUCUCUUGGCUCUC